GUACUUUUCCUCCCAAACUUGCCUGUAUUUUUCGGAAGAUAACUUUAUCCCAGAAACUGUUGUUUCUAAUUAUACCACUUCUGAGUUCUGCUUCUUUCCUCUUGGAAGCAAAAUCCAGCAUCCACUUCUUCAGUGAUGUAUCCGCCUGUCCAAAAAUCUUGUCAAACAUUCUGUUCAACAGUCGUGGUACUACUGGAAAUACAGUUGGCUGUAGUGUUUUUAGGUCAUCCAUAAGUAGCCUGAUAUCCCCUUGAAAGAAUCCUAUCCGAGCUCCA
rnacentral:lncRNA from 1 species